rnacentral:rRNA from 1 species
CCUACGGGAGGCAGCAGUGGGGAAUAUUGCGCAAUGGGGGCAACCCUGACGCAGCAACGCCGCGUGAUUGAAGAAGGCCUUCGGUUUGUAAAGAUCUUUAAUCGGGGAUGAAUGUUGACGGUACCGAAAAAGAAGCCUCGGCUAACUACGUGCCCGCAGGCGCGGGAAUACGUAGGGGGCAAGCGUUAUCCGGAUUGACUGGGUGUUAAGGGAGUGUAGGCGGGCCUGCAAGGCAGAAGUGAAAGCCGGGGGCGUAACCCCCAAACUGCUUUUGGAAAGGCGUGUCUUGAGUGAUGGAGAGGCAGGCGGAAUUCCCAGUGUAGCGGUGAAAUGCGUAGAGAUUGGGAGGAACACCAGUGGCGAAGGCGGCCUGCUGGACAUUAACUGACGUUGAGGCGCGAAAGCGUGGGGAGCAAACAGGAUUAGAUACCCUUGUAGUC